UGGGAACUGAAUAGUUAUCCAGGGCUGGCGCUACCACUUAGGCAGCCGAGGCAAUCGCCUAGGGAGCCAGAAUAAUUGGUGGGCGGCAUUUUGCCGGAGGGGGCGGCAGGCAGCGCCGGUGGAGCUGCCGCAGUGGUGACUGCGGAGGGUCUGCUGGUCCGCGGCUCCGGUGGAGCUGCCGCAGUCGUGCCUGCGGACAGUCGGCUCCUCGUGCGGCUCCGGUGUACCACCCACAGGCAUGACUGCAGCAGCUCCACCGGAGCCACAGAGCACUGGACCCUCUGCAGGCACCACUG